CCUACGGGUGGCAGCAGUGAGGAAUAUUGGUCAAUGGCCGAACGGCUGAACCAGCCAAGUCGCGUGAGGGAAGACUGCCCUACGGGUUGUAAACCUCUUUUGUCGGGGAGCAAAGCGGGCCACGUGUGGUUCAUUGAGAGUACCCGAAGAAAAAGCAUCGGCUAACUCCGUGCCAGCAGCCGCGGUAAUACGGAGGAUGCGAGCGUUAUCCGGAUUUGUUGGGUUUAAAGGGUGCGCAGGCGGAGGUGCAAGUCAGCGGUAAAAUUGCGGGGCUCAACCCCGUACUGCCGUUGAAACUGGAUCUCUUGAGUGCGCGAGAAGUAUGCGGAAUGCGUGGUGUAGCGGUGAAAUGCAUAGAUAUCACGCAGAACUCCGAUUGCGAAGGCAGCAUACCGGCGCGCAACUGACGCUGAUGCACGAAAGCGUGGGUAUCGAACAGGAUUAGAUACCCGUGUAGUC
rnacentral:rRNA from 1 species